rnacentral:rRNA from 1 species
AAACUUCUUUAUCACCGAGUGCUUGCACUCACCGAUAAAGAGUUGAGUGGCGAACGGGUGAGUAACACGUGGGCAACCUGCCCAAAAGAGGGGGAUAACACUUGGAAACAGGUGCUAAUACCGCAUAACCAUAGUUACCGCAUGGUAACUAUGUAAAAGGUGGCUAUGCUACCGCUUUUGGAUGGGCCCGCGGCGCAUUAGCUAGUUGGUGGGGUAAAGGCUUACCAAGGCAAUGAUGCGUAGCCGAACUGAGAGGUUGAUCGGCCACAUUGGGACUGAGACACGGCCCAAACUCCUACGGGAGGCAGCAGUAGGGAAUCUUCCACAAUGGGCGAAAGCCUGAUGGAGCAACGCCGCGUGGGUGAAGAAGGUCUUCGGAUCGUAAAACCCUGUUGUUAGAGAAGAAAGUGCGUGAGAGUAACUGUUCACGUUUCGACGGUAUCUAACCAGAAAGCCACGGCUAACUACGUGCCAGCAGCCGCGGUAAUACGUAGGUGGCAAGCGUUAUCCGGAUUUAUUGGGCGUAAAGGGAACGCAGGCGGUCUUUUAAGUCUGAUGUGAAAGCCUUCGGCUUAACCGGAGUAGUGCAUUGGAAACUGGGAGACUUGAGUGCAGAAGAGGAGAGUGGAACUCCAUGUGUAGCGGUGAAAUGCGUAGAUAUAUGGAGGAACACCGGUGGCGAAAGCGGCUCUCUGGUCUGUA